rnacentral:misc_RNA from 1 species
GAUGAAGAACGUAGCGAAAUGCGAUACUUGGUGUGAAUUGCAGAAUCCCGUGAACCAUCGAGUCUUUGAACGCAAGUUGCGCCUCAAGCCAUUAGGUUGAGGGCACGUCUGCCUGGGCGUCACAUAUCGUUGCCUGAUGCCAGUUUCCUCGUGAUGGGUGACUGUGCAGGGCGAAUGAUGGCUUCCCGUGAGCAUUGUUGCCUCAUGGUUGGUUGAAAAUUGAGUCCUUGGUAGGGAGCGCCGUGAUAGAUGGUGGUUGAGUGACGAACAAGACCCAAUCAUGUGAGACCCCUACCGAAUUUGGCCUUCAUGACCCACAUGCGUCUUUGGAACGCUCAUGACGAGACCUCAGGUCAGGCGGGGCUACCCGCUGAGUUUAAGCAUAUCAAUAAGCGGAGGA